rnacentral:rRNA from 1 species
ACCACAGAAGGUAAUAGUCCUGUAUGUUAAACGAGAAGACUUUAGAUAUGAUCCAGAGUACCACGGGACACGUGAAACCCUGUGGGAAGCAGGAGGGACCACCCUCCAAGGCUAAAUACUACCUAGUGACCGAUAGCGUAUAGUACCGUGAGGGAAAGGUGAAAAGAACCCCGGGAGGGGAGUGAAAUAGAACCUGAAACCCUGCACUUACAAGCUGUGGAAGCACAUUUCUUGUGUGACCGCGUACUUUUUGUAGAACGGGCCAACGAGUUACGUUAAGUAGCAAGGUUAAGCACUUAAGGUGCGGAGCCGUAGCGAAAGCGAGUUUUAACUGAGCGUUCAGUUACUUGACGUAGACCCGAAACCGGGCGACCUACCCAUGAGCAGGAUGAAGCGAAAGUAAAAUUUCGUGGAGGUCCGAACCCACGAGCGUUGAAAAGCUCGGGGAUGACUUGUGGGUAGCGGUGAAAUUCCAAUCGAGCCCGGAGAUAGCUGGUUCUCCCCGAAAUAGCUUUAGGGCUAGCCUCAAGGUGAGAGAUACGGAGGUAGAGCACUGAAUGUCCUAGGGGGUAUUGCACCUACCGAAGACUAUCAAACUCCGAAUGCCGUCAUCUUAUACUUGGGAGUCAGACUGUGGGUGAUAAGAUUCAUAGUCGAAAGGGCAACAGCCCAGAUCGUCAGCUAAGGUCCCUAAAUGUAAGUUAAGUGGUAAAGGAUGUGGGAUUGCACAGACAACCAGGAUGUUGGCUUAGAAGCAGCCACUCAUUCAAAGAGUGCGUAAUAGCUCACUGGUCGAGUGAUCCUGCGCCGAAGAUUUCCGGGGCUAAAACUU